rnacentral:rRNA from 1 species
UACAGAGGUCCCAAGCGUUGUUCGGAUUUACUGGGCGUAAAGGGUGCGUAGGCGGCGAGUCAAGUCUGACGUGAAAUCUUCGAGCUCAACUCGAAAAUGGCGUUGGAAACUGUCUCGCUAGAGGAUUGGAGGGGAGAUUGGAAUACUUGGUGUAGCAGUGAAAUGCGUAGAUAUCAAGUGGAACACCAGUGGCGAAGGCGAGUCUCUAGACAAUUCCUGACGCUGAGGCACGAAAGCUAGGGGAGCAAACGGG